CUCGCUUGCACACUUUGUCUUCGCUUCAGAACCCUGCGAAGGGGACUGAAUUCAGCCCAGGUCCGCAGGUUAUCAGGGUGUCAGCCCUGGAUUCCAGCCCCCACCCCGCUUUCAGACAAACAGAAUCUCCCGUAAAGGUUGUCCCUGCCUCAGUUUCCCCUUUUAUACCGUCAAGGAAACAGUGGGAGUGCUGGGUGGGAUGGGAUGGGAUGGGCUGCUCCCAGCUUUGCUCUGCAGGCACUGUCAUAAAAAUAAAAACGCUGGGAACUGGAAAAGCUCUUUUCCUGGGCCAGCCACACUCUGAGCUGUAAAACACCUCAACUUCCAGGAGCUUUAACCCUCUCCACCUGGCUCCCAGGACUCACAGUCUGCAGACAGAAACUGGGGCUCUAGCCCUGGUCCGCCUGGGGCCACUGCAAGCCAAGCCAGACUACCAAGAAAGAGCUGUUGUUCCAAGAAGAAAUCAUGGAAGGCUGACUGGAGGAGACAGACAGUCCAGGAGAUCAGUGGGAGGGGCAGUGAGGUCAGUGAGGGGCCGUUGGUUGAAGGGUGUGUGUAGAUUUCUAGACCUCCACGUGGCGCACAAAUGUGCCUGUCCUGGGUCACAUCCACUUUCCCUGCUAGGUAGCUGCUGGGGGACACAGGAAGGUACCAUGCCCAGCUGUGUCAGAGGCAAAUGAGGCGGUGUGGAAGUGGCUCCACCAUCACCCCCGGGUCAUCAGGGAUGUCAGCAGAAGUCCUCAGCAGAAAGAGCCGGGGCUGCUAGACAGACGGGUCCCGGAGGGUCAAGAUCGUGGGCUUAAGGAGAAUCACGAUGUGCAGCUAGCAGAGGGCAGUGCCAAUGUCUUGAGGCGGCAGGGACUCAUAGAGGGCAUACCUGGGACUGAUGUUGCUGACCAGCGUUGGAAUUCUCCAGAAAACCACCACUGCUGGGUGGACCUGUGCUGAGGUAGGAGCACAUGGCUGCCUAACGGGUGUCUGCCACGAGCCAGGCACGGGGCUGGGGCCCAGGACCAUGUGCUCAUCCCUGCCUGCUGGCUUCCACUGGGGCCGGGACCGCCUCGCAGGCAGCUGCUUGCCUAACCCCAAGCACUCCAGUUUCUCUGCCGGUGUCUUCCUGGGCCCUGGUACCUGCAGGCCUGUGCCCUCCUCUGCCCUUCCACCUGCAGCAGACAGCAACUCUCUCAGGCCUCCGGCUCGGGCUGACCAUGGCUCUUCCUGUGACUGUGUGAGCUCAGCAGCCUGGGAGAGUCCUGAGCGGGCUGGCUCCAGUAUCUGCCUGAACCUGGAAUUUACACAGACAAUGCUUCAAAUGGAUUUUGCUUUGAGUAA